UUUGACGUCGGGGCGGGUGGGGUGUAGACUGUGCUUUCGAGGUGCGUCCGCUCCCGCCGCCCCCCUCGCCUUAAAUCUUGGGCUGCUCUCCUUUUAAGAAUAACUCAUUUUCCCUGUUAAGAUGGUUCAGCCACUGUAAAGAAAAGGGCACCGUCUCUCGCUCUUUAAUCUAAUUAAAUACUCGCCAAGAACGACAGCUUUGUUUCUCCGACGCGCCCUAAAAAAAGCUUCAUAUCUCACACGCUUGAGCGCCCACUCAGCAUCUCGCCGUCGUGGACCGAGCUUUGGCAUGACUGGCAGAGCGCCUUGAGCGCCGUGUACAACCAGUAUGGAUCAAAUUAAAGGUUUUUAAGUGCGCCUUGGAGUGCGGAAAAUACGGUAAUUUAAAUCAAAUAUUUUUAUAUUAAUUUCCAUCCAUCCAUCCAUUUUCAACAGCUUAUCCGGGGUCGGGUCGCGGGGGCAACAGCUCCAGCAGGGGACCCCAAACUUCCCUUUCCCAGGCCACAUCUACCAGCUCUGACUGGGGGUUCCCAAGGCGUUCCCAGGCCAGUGCAGAGAUAUAAUCUCUCCACCUAGUCCUGGGUCUUCCCGGGGCCUCUUCCCAGCUGGCCGUGCCUGGAACACCUCCCUAGGGAGGUGCCCAGGGGGCAUCACCAGAUGCCCAAACCACCUCAACUGGCUCCUUUCGACGCAAAGGAGCAGCGGCUCUACUCAGAGCUCCUUGCGAUUGGCUGAGCUUCUCACCCUUUCCCUAAGGGAGACGCCAGCCACUCACCUGAGGAAACCCAUUUCGGCCGCUUUUACCCGUGACCUAGUUCUUUCGGUCAUGACCCAUCCUUCAUGACCAUAGGUGAGGGUAGGAACGAAGAUUGACCGGUAGAUCGAGAGCUUUGCCUUCCAGCUCAGCUCUCUUUUCGUCACAACGGUGCGGUUGUUGGAUUGACCACUCAGUUAUUUUAUUUAAUUGUAUUGUUUCUUUGGUUAUGUUUUUGAUGCAGCACACAGAAUACAUUUCAAGCUUACCAAAAGGAAAUAAACCAACCUGCCUUGCAUCAUUUUCUCACUCCACUCCUUGCCGUUCGGGUCUUCUGACCGAGACUGUCUGCUCACCCAACAUUCACCCCCCCCAAACCACAUCACCCCUACAGUUCCUUCAGCCGCCAGCACACCCAAAAAAAGUUGUGAAACGGAUCUAUGCGUAGAAAGGGAUUUAAGUGGUUGGUUCACUACAACAUUAGUAGAAAAGCAAAAAAAUAUACGUUACACAAACACACACAAAAAUGGAUCUCAUGCCAAGCAUCCACCCACCAAUAGACAAACAAAGCUUGCCGUUUACACCACAAACACUUAACAGAAGUGGGCAAGUGGCAGACAAAGCAGGAGAGGGAAAGAAGCCAAACAGAGCAGCUGUUCUCAACUCCAUACCUGGAGGCUGAUAGGGGAGGCUGUAGGACCCGUGACCCCGGAGUCCCCAGUCUCAUUCUGGGCAGAGGGAGCAUUUGAAGGUUAGCCUCUCUGGUCAUGAAUUAUUUCAGGUUCAUGGCUCCCUGACUACCUGUAGUCUGCUGUGCAGAGACUGAGUCAAGGGGCUUUGACUGACAUAGCCACGCACUCUAUGAUCAGCUUCUCUCCGAAAGGAGGGAAUACAACAGCUCUUCUGACACUCUAGUGAGCUUGUUCGUUCAAUCAUUCGUUCAUAUAUACAACAGACUAACACAUACGGCCAAUAAGGAUGAUCCGGAUUCCAUUGUUUAAUUUCUAAUGUAAGUUAGAAAAAAAAGUCACGGUCAAAAAAUAUAUAUAGUGAGCACAUCAUCUUCGAGGCAUUAGAACUGAUCAUUAUAUAGCCAGCACAUCCAUUGUGAUUGGUGCAUGUCUGCUGUUUCGGCACAAUUUGUAAAUUGUAAGUACUUGCUACAAAUUCCAGAAUAGCAUAAGCAGUAUCGUCCAUACAAAGGUCGGAGUGACAUACAGUGAUUUGGGGGAGAAAAGAGCAGUGGAUGGCGUGUGGACGUAGGAUUCAGCAUUUCUGCUUGAUAGUAUUUGUGCAACUGUACAAUACUAUAAGCUGAGAGCUCUUAGUUUGGUUUUCCAUCACUGCACAAUAUAGCAUAGACCAUCUGCAUGACUGGGCUAGAGGGGUCUGCUUAAACUGCUAAAAUGUGUUGCCAAACAAGUCAAAAUGGAAGGCAUUGGGUUUGUGGCAAAUGCUGUCCCUUUAGAAAAUAUAUUUCAUGCAAACUCAAAAUGGUUACAACAAAAAAGAAACAGUGCUGCAAUGAAACCUUUUGACAAAAAGACACUAAACAUCUACUUUUGCUCCACCCUUAAGCCGCUGCGCUCUCUCUCUAAGUGUGAAGCACUGGGAUUUUCUCAAUGCAACCACAAGUGUAUGGCGGGCCAACUGUUGCCCAAGUCAACAUCAUCGUCAUACUUGUAGAUCCCAACAGGGAUGACUUGAUGAGUGUUUCCAACAAACGCAAGCAAUACACAGUGAGAUUAAAAGUUUGAACCAGGAGAAAAACCCAUGUAUAAAAAAAAAAAAACACUUCUUUGGUGACUGACUCAGACUGUCAGUGAAAAUUUUUUAGGAAGUUUGCGCAAUUAGUAAGCCUGCAUUCUUAAAAAUAUCAGUACAAAUAUUACAUAUUUUUUAUGCAUAUAGUUGUAUUUCAGGGAUUUCGAUAUAGUGUUUAAUAAUAAAUUUCAGUUGAUCAAAGGUGUAUGCUUAGUGGGUCAUGCAAACUUUGUUCCAAAGAGAUGUAUGACUAUUAAUUACACAAUUAACAAAAACUGACCGGUCAAGACCAAAUCAAUAAAUAUUUACCGUUUUGACAUGCCAAAAAUUUGCCAACAUUUAUCCACUUUUUUCCUCCAAUUGUCACACCCCGGUGAGAUCAAGUUGGGGUUUUCUCGUCUUCGUGCCUUGUCAUUUCCGGUUUUAUUUUGAAAGAUUAACCCCGCUCUCGUUUCAGGUCACUUGCCCCUCAUGUGUCACCAGCCGAAUAGUCUCCCCUGAUCCCUGAUUGUGUUCACCGGUUUCCUAUUACCCUCACGUCUCUUAUAGUCUGUUUCCCUUUCCCUGGUGCAGGAGUGUACCGACCAUUCUGCAACCUGAGCCUGUCGCCUUUAACUCUGUGUCCCUCUGCCUGCCUGCCUGCCUGGUUCGGUCUUGCUUUUCCCCGUUCCCGUUCUAUAAGAAGAAUGGGAGAAACUUCCCAGAAAUAGGUGUGCCACGCUUGUGGAAUCAUACCCAAGAAGACUUGAGGCUGUAAUUGCUGCCAAAGGUGCUUCAACACAGUAUUGAGCAAAGGCUGUGAAUACUUAUGUACAUGUUACGUUUUUGUUCUUUAUUUUUAACAGAUUUGCAAAAAUUUGCACAAAAAAUAGUUUUCACUUUGUCAUUAUGGGUUGUGUGUAGAAUGUUGAGGAAAAUAAUGAAUUUAAUCCAUUUUGGAAUAAGGCUGCAACACAACAAAAUGGGGAAAAAGUUAAGCGCUGUGAAUACUUUCCGGAUGCACUGUAUGUACAGUGCCUUGCGAAAGUAUUCGGCCCCCUUGAACUUUUCGACCUUUUGCCACAUUUCAGGCUUCAAACAUAAAGAUAUAAAACUAAUUUUUUG
ensembl:lncRNA